GAUUUCAACUGAAAAAGUUAUCAACAACAAAGUUGAAUAACUCAUCACGAUCUGAAACUUUUAUUUUGGUCAUUUCUUCAUCUGACAAAGUGAUAGUAACAUUGAUAUGUAAAUUUUGUGAACAAUGUUACUAACACUUUGUCAGAUGAAGAAAAGAAAAAAAUAAAAGUUGUAGAUCUUGAUGAGUUAUACAAUUUUUUUGUUGAUGACUUUUUCAGUUGAAAUC
rnacentral:pre_miRNA from 1 species